UACAGAGGUCCCGAGCGUUGUUCGGAUUUAUUGGGCGUAAAGGGUGCGUAGGUGGUGAGGUAAGUCGGAUGUGAAAGCUCCAAGCUCAACUUGGAAAUGGCAUUGGAAACUACCUUGCUAGAGGGUUUGAGGGGGGACUGGAAUACUUGGUGUAGCAGUGAAAUGCGCAGAUAUCAGGAGGAACACCGGUGGCGAAGGCGGGUCUCUGGGCCGUAACUGACGCUGAGGAGCGAAAGCAUGGGGAGCGAACAGG
rnacentral:rRNA from 1 species